GGGGACAACGCUCCGAAAGGAACGCUAAUACCGCAUACGUCCUACGGGGGAAAGCAGGGGAUCUUCGGACCUUGCGCUAAUAGAUGAGCCUAAGUCGGAUUAGCUUGUUGGUGGGGUAAAGGCCUACCAAGGCGACGAUCUGUAGCGGGUCUGAGAGGAUGAUCCGCCACACUGGGACUGAGACACGGCCCAG
rnacentral:rRNA from 1 species